rnacentral:sRNA from 1 species
GCCAGGCAUGGUGGUGCACCCCUGUAAUCCCAGCAGCUCAGGAGGCUGAGGCAGGAGGAUUGAGAGUUCAAAGCCAGCCUCAGCAAAGCGACUCUAUUCAUUUAGAGACCCUGUCUCUA